CAGGGCGUAGUUUAACAGGAAAAACGGCAUAUCCCCUAACCAAAAUCCCCGGAAGCUGUAUCCCCCCCUCACAGCACCGCACGUUUGACAGCCAUGCGGGUUCGAUUCCCGCCGCCCUGA
rnacentral:tRNA from 1 species